GGCGCUAUAGCCAAGUGGUUACGGCGACAGAUUCGAAUGAUUACGACAUCUGUUCCUCUUUGAGGGCGCAGGUUCAAAUCCUGCUGGCGUCG